rnacentral:rRNA from 1 species
GACGAACGCUGGCGGCGUGCUUAACACAUGCAAGUCGAACGGAAAGGCCCUGCUUUCGUGGGGUGCCCGAGUGGCGAACGGGUGAGUAACACGUGAGUAACCUGCCCUUGACUUUGGGAUAACUUCACGAAACUGGGGCUAAUACAGGACAGGAGCCCCUGCUGCAUGGUGGGGGGUGGAAAGUUUCGGCGGGUGUGGAUGGACUGGCGGCUUAACAGCUAGUUGGUGGGGGAGUGGCAUACCAAAUCAUUGACCGGUAACCGGCCUGAGAGGGUGAACGGCCACAUUAGGACUAAGGUACGGCGCAGAGGCCAACAGGAGACAACAGUGGGAAAUAUUGCACAAUGGGCGGACGCCUGUGACAAAAGCGCCGCGUGUGGAAAGACCGCCUGUGGGUUGUGAACCGCUUUCGCCUGAGACGAAGCGUUAGUGACGGUAAUGGGUAAAGAAGCACCGGCUAACUACGUG